rnacentral:lncRNA from 1 species
AACAAAUUAUUUUCUACGUACAUUAUUCUAUUAUCUAAAACUACAUCAAACACUGAGGAAAAAAAAUCAACAGGGAGUGAAAGGGGAGUUAGAGUUGGAGUUCGGCCUCAAUUUCGAGAUUCUGGUGAUGAUGGCUUUGCUUUUAUAUUUGAUUAGUUUCUCACACAGGUUUUUAUCCAAUCUUGUAUUAUUAUUUUAUAAAUUUUAUUGUAAAUCAAG